rnacentral:lncRNA from 1 species
GUUGAUGCAGAUGGAUUCGUUGCUCCAUUUACCAUCAAAACUAAUGGCUUAUUUGCAUUGUCUCUUGUUUCGUUAAUGUUUUCUUAAAAAGACUGGUGUAAUGUUUAAGUGUCGAUGUCAUGGUGUUAUGCGCCAUCAGUUUGUUGAUCGUCGGCGUCAAGAUUAAAACUAACGGCUUGUUUGCCGAGUGUCUUAUUUAGUUCUAUGUUUGAUUAAUGCUUCCUUGGAAAGACUCAAGCAAUGUUCAACUGUUUUGUCAUGGUGCUAUGCGUACCUGUUUCUUGCUUGUUUAUUAAUUAGUUUUCCUUGGUAUGAUCUAUUGGCAUGAAUGGAAUAUAUGCAUACAUAAUUAUUAAAAUUGCUUGAAUAUUGAUCAGUUUUUUUUGGUAUAUCCGGUAUAUCCUAUUGGCAUGAAUGGCAGAUAUAUGCUCAUUGAAAUGGCCACAAAGGUGUUGUAUGCAUUGGAUCACAACAGGUGUAAAUAUUAAAUGUCCAUGUAUUUAUUAGGGCCAGUCUUAGAGCCAACCUAAAAGCCAGCUUAUUGUGUGGGAAGGCUUUAUAGAUGAUGUGGCAGGGGCUUAUAGCCAGCAGCAGGCUGUGCUAUUAACCAUGCUCUUACUGUAACAUAGCGUUUUUCAAGGCAAGAUGAGUAUGAGCUAAUAAAUAAAGUCAUCUAUGAUAUUACUAUUAUGUUACUUUGCAUUAUAAAGGUAGUAACUUAGGCCCUGUUUGGUUCUGUUGUGGAUUUCUAAAAGCAGCUGUGGAAAAUCUGCUGUGGAAAAACAGCUGUGGAAAAUCUGAUGUGAAAAGAUGUAGGUCAUUUGGCAAACCAGCUGAUACAACUUUUUCAGAUUUUGCCCCGCAGCGGAAUCAGAUUUUGGAAAGCACGUCCUGGGCUGCUUCCGCUUUUGGUUCAGAUUUUGGCAGCGGAUUUCUGGAAUCGGAUUCUGCUGGGUUCGCCCUUUGGUUCAGAUUCUGCUGCGCGGCAGCGGAAUCCGUCGAUAAAAACUGAACCAAACAGGGCCUUAGUCUAAUGUCAUAUGCAUGACACUAGUCUAAGUUACUCCCCACUAUGACCAGCCUAACUAGCUAGGGGGACCGAGCGAGUAAAUAAAAGGAAUGCCGUAAAUGCCAUGUAUUCCAUCCUGGACUGUAAUAAAUAGUGAGCUUUUUUAUGGCACACUUAAAUAAAUGUGAAUCUUUCAUUAGCUGUUAAUCUGAUCUAGAUUUGUUUGUGUUAUACUUAUGCAGAGACAGGGGUCAUGCUAAUCUUCUUUGUAUCAUUGCAAUUUAAUUGGAUGUCCCCAAGGGACACUGCUAAUCUAAUCUAAUCUAAUCUGAUGGAUGAUAUUGAAUGCUACUUCAAUCAACAUGGGUAAAUAGGGGUAUGCCACCUAAAACAAUCUGAGGAGUACCAUGUUUGUAGGGAUUAAAAUGUUAUCUAAAUUAUAUAAAAAUGAAAUAAAAGAAUUAUUUUGUAAUGUACUUCAGUAAUUUUCUUCUAUUUUCGUUUAACUGGGGUAAUCAAGACUGUUUUGAUCUGAUCUCGCCAAAAAUCUAGAACUUAAUCUCUCUGCACUUGAUUGACCAGGGAUUCUCUUUACAACUCAACUGAUCAUGAACUUCUCAUUUCGCGAUGAGCAAACGUUAAGGAUAUAUAAGUUGAACAUGUGCGCACUGUUGGGGAAUGUAGUAAUUUCAAAAAAUUUCCUACGCACACGCAAGAUCAUGGUGAUACAUAGCAACGAGAUGGGAGAGUGUUGUCCACAUACCCUCGUAGACCGGCAACGGAAGCGUUGACACAACGUAGAGGAAGUAGUCGUAUAUCUUCCUGAUCCGACCGAUCCAAGUACCGAACGUACCGCACCUCCGAGUUCUGCAUACGUUCAACUCGGUGACGUCCCUCGAGCUUCGAUCCAGCCGAGUGUUGAGGGAGAGUUUUGUCAGCACGACGGCGUGAUGACGGUGAUGAUGUUCUACCGAAGCAGGGCUUCGCCUAAGCAUCGCUACGAUAUGACCGAGGUGGAAUAUGGUGGAAGGGGGCACCGCACACGGCUAAGGAACGAUCACGAAGAUCAACUUGUGUGUCAUGAGGUGCCCCCUUGCCCCCAUAUAUAAAGAAGGGAGAGGGGGAGGUGCCGCCGGCCCUAGGGGUGCGCCUGGAGGAGUCCUACUCCCACCGGGAGUAGGACUCCCCCCUCUUGCCUUGUUGGAGAAGGAAAGGGGAAGGAGGAAAGAGGAAAGGGGGGCGCCGCCCCCCUUCCUUGUANNNNNNNNNNNNNNNNNNNNNNNNNNNNNNNNNNNNNNNNNNNNNNNNNNNNNNNNNNNNNNNNNNNNNNNNNNNNNNNNNNNNNNNNNNNNNNNNNNNNNNNNNNNNNNNNNNNNNNNNNNNNNNNNNNNNNNNNNNNNNNNNNNNNNNNNNNNNNNNNNNNNNNNNNNNNNNNNNNNNNNNNNNNNNNNNNNNNNNNNNNNNNNNNNNNNNNNNNNNNNNNNNNNNNNNNNNNNNNNNNNNNNNAACCCCCCGGUACUCCGAUAAAAUCCCGAUUUCACCCGGAACGUUUCCGAUAUCCAAAUAUAGGCUUCCAAUAUAUCAAACUUUAUGUCUCGACCAUUUCGAGACUCCUCGUCAUGUCCGUGAUCACAUCCGGGACUCCGAACAACCUUCGGUUCAUCAAAACACAAAAACCCUAAUUACGAUCGUCACCGAACUUUAAGCGUGCGGACCCUACGGGUUCGAGAACUAUGUAGACAUGACUGAGAUACGUCUCCGGUCAACAACCAAUAGCGGAACCUGGAUGCUCAUAUUGGCUCCUACAUAUUCUACAAAGAUCUUUAUCGGUCAGACCGCAUAACAACAUACGUUGUUCCCUUUGUCAUAGGUAUGUUACUUGCUCGAGAUUCGAUCGUCGGUAUCUUAAUACCUAGUUCAAUCUCGUUACUGGCAAGUCUCUUUACUCGUUCCGUAAUACACCAUCCUGCAACUAACUUAUUAGUUGCAUGCUUGCAAGGCUUGAGUGAUGUGCAUUACCGAGAGGGCCUAGAGAUACCUCUCCGACAAUCGGAGUGACAAAUCCUAAUCUCGAAAUACGCCAACCCAACAAGUACCUUCGGAGACACCUGUAGAGCACCUUUAUAAUCACCCAGUUACGUUGUGACGUUUGGUAGCACACAAAGUGUUCCUCCGGUAAAUGGGAGUUGCAUAAUCUCAUAGUCAUAGGAACAUGUAUAAGUUAUGAAGAAAGCAAUAGCAACAAAUUAAACGAUCAAGUGCUAAGCUAACGGAAUGGGUCAAGUCAAUCACAUCAUUCUCCUAAUGAUGUGAUACCGUUAAUCAAAUGACAACUCAUGUCUAUGGUUAGGAAACAUAAUCAUCUUCGACCAACGAGCUAGUCAAGUAGAGGCAUACUAGUGACACUCUGUUUGUCUAUGUAUUCACACAUGUAUUAUGUUUCCGGUUAAUACAAUUCUAGCAUGAAUAAUAAACAUUUAUCAUGAUAUAAGGAAAUAAAUAAUAACUUUAUUAUUGCCUCUAGGGCAUAUUUCCUUCAGUCUCCCACUUGCACUAGAGUCAAUAAUCUAGAUUACACAGUAAUGAUUCUAACACCCAUGGAGCCUUGGUGUUGAUCAUGUUUUGUUCGUGGGAGAGGCUUAGUUAGCGGGUUUGCAACAUUCAGAUCCGUAUGUAUCUUGCAAAUUUCUAUGUCUCCCACUUGGACUAAAUCCCGAAUGAAAUUGAAGCGUCUCUUGAUGUGCUUGGUUCUCUUGUGAAAUCUGGAUUCCUUCGCCAAGCCAGUUGCACCAGUAUUGUCACAAAAGAUUUUCAUUGAACCCGAUGCACUAGGUAUGACACCUAGAUCGGAUAUGAACUCAUUCAUCCAGACUCCUUCAUUUACUGCUUCCGAAGCAGCUGUGUACUCCUCUUCACAUGUAGAUCCCGCCACGACGCUUUGUUUAGAACUGCACCAACUGAUAGCUCCACCCUUUAGUAUAAACACGUAUCCGGUUUGCGAUUUAGAAUCGUCCGGAUUAGUGUCAAAGCUUGCAUCAACAUAACCAUUUAUGAUAAGCUCUUUGUCACCUCCAUAUACGAGAAACAUAUCCUUAGUCCUUUUUAGGUACUUCAGGAUGUUCUUGACCGCUGUCCAGUGAUCCACUGUUGGAUUACUUUGGUACCUUCCUGCUAGACUUAUAGCAAGGCACACAUCAGGUCUGGUACACAGCAUUGCAUACAUGAUAGAUCCUAUGGCUGAAGCAUAGGGAACAUCUUUCAUUUUCUCUCUAUCUUCUGCGGUGGUCGGACAUUGAGUCUUACUCAACUUCACACCUUGUAACACAGGCAAGAACCCUUUCUUUGCUUGAUCCAUUUUGAACUUCUUCAAAACUUUGUCAAGGUAUGUGCUUUGUGAAAGUCCAAUUAAGCGUCUUGAUCUAUCUCUAUAGAUCUUAAUGCCCAAUAUGUAAGCAGCUUCACCGAGGUCUUUCAUUGAAAAACUCUUAUUCAAGUAUCCCUUUAUGCUAUCCAGAAAUUCUAUAUCAUUUCCAAUCAAUAAUAUGUCAUCCACAUAUAAUAUCAGAAAUGCUACAGAGCUCCCACUCACUUUCUUGUAAAUACAGGUUUCUCCAAAAGUCUGUACAAAACCAAAUGCUUUGAUCACACUAUCAAAGCGUUUAUUCCAACUCCGAGAGGCUUGCACCAGUCCAUAAAUGGAUCGCUGGAGCUUGCACACUUUGUUAGCUCCCUUUGGAUCGACAAAACCUUCUGGCUGCAUCAUAUACAACUCUUCUUCCAGAAAUCCAUUCAGGAAUGCAGUUUUGACAUCCAUUUGCCAAAUUUCAUAAUCAUAAAAUGCAGCAAUUGCUAACAUGAUUCGGACAGACUUAAGCAUCGCUACAGGUGAGAAGGUCUCAUCGUAGUCAAUCCCUUGAAUUUGUCGAAAACCUUUUGCAACAAGUCGAGCUUUGUAGACAGUAACAUUACCGUCAACAUCAGUCUUCUUCUUGAAGAUCCAUUUAUUCUCAAUUGCUUGCCGAUCAACGAGCAAGUCAACCAAAGUCCACACUUUGUUCUCAUACAUGGACCCCAUCUCAGAUUUCAUGGCUUCUAGCCAUUUUGCGGAAUCUGGGCUCACCAUCGCUUCUUCAUAGUUUGUAGGUUCAUCAUGAUCUAGUAGCAUGACUUUCAGAACAGGAUUACCAUACCACUCUGGUGCGGAUCUUAUUCUGGUUGAUCUACGAGGUUCGGUAGUAACUUGAUCUGAAGUUUCAUGAUCAUUAUCAUUAGCUUCCUCACUAAUUGGUGUAGGUGAAAUAGAAACCGGUUUCUGUGAUGUACUACUUUCCAAUAAGGGAGUAGGUACAAUUACCUCAUCAAGUUCUACUUUCCUCCCACUCACUUCUUUCGAGAGAAACUCCUUCUCUAGAAAGGAUCCAUUCUUAGCAACGAAAGUUUUGCCUUCGGAUCUGUGAUAGAAGGUGUACCCAACAGUUUCCUUUGGGUAUCCUAUGAAGACACAUUUCUCCGAUUUGGGUUCGAGCUUAUCAGGUUGAAGCUUUUUCACAUAAGCAUCGCAGCCCCAAAUUUUCAGAAACGACAACUUUGGUUUCUUACCAAACCACAGUUCAUAAGGCGUCGUCUCAACGGAUUUCGAUGGUGCCCUAUUUAACGUGAAUGCAGCCAUCUCUAAAGCAUAACCCCAAAACAAUAGCGGUAAAUCUGAAAGAGACAUCAUAGAUCACACCAUAUCUAGUAAAGUACGAUUACAACGUUCGGACACACCAUUACGCUGUGGUGUUCCGGGUGGCGUGAGUUGCGAAACUAUUCUGCAUUGUUUCAAAUGUAGACCAAACUCGUAACUCAAAUAUUCUCCUCCAUGAUCAGAUCGUAGAAACUUUAUUUUCUUGUUACGAUGAUUUUCAACUUCACUCUGAAAUUCUUUAAACUUUUCAAAUGUUUCGUACUUAUGUUUCAUUAAGUAGAUAUACCCAUAUCUGCUUAAAUUAUCUGUGAAGGUGAGAAAAUAAUGAUAUCCACCACGAGCCUUAAUAUUCAUCGGACCACAUACAUCUGUAUGUAUGAUUUCCAACAAAUCCGUUGCUCUCUCCAUAGUACCAGAGAACGGCGUUUUAGUCAUCUUGCCCAUGAGGCACGGUUCGCAAGUACCAAGUCAUUCAUAAUCAAGUGAUUCCAAAAGUCCAUCAGUAUAGAGUUUCUUCAUGCGCUUUACACCGAUAUGAACUGAACGGCAGUGCCACAAAUAAGUUGCACUAUCAUUAUCAACUCUGCAUCUUUUGGCUUCAACAUUAUGAAUAUGUGUAUCACUACUAUCGAGAUUCAUCAAAAAUGGACCACUCUUCAAGAGUGCAUGACCAUAAAAGAUAUUACUCAUAUAAAUAGAACAACCAUUAUUCUCUGAUUUAAAUGAAUAACCGUCUCACAUCAAACAAGAUCCAGAUAUAAUGUUCAUGCUCAACGCUGUCACCAAAUAACAAUUACUUAGGUCUAAAACUAAUCCCGAAGGUAGAUGUAGAGGUAGCGUGCCGACCACGAUCACAUCGACUUUGGAACCAUUUCCCACGCGCAUCGUCACCUCGUCCUUUGCCAGUGUUCUCUUAAUCCGUAGUCCCUGUUGCGAGUUGCAAAUGUUAGCAACAGAACCAGUAUCAAAUACCCAGGUGCUACUGCGAGCUCUAAUAAGGUACACAUCAAUAACAUGUAUAUCACAUAUACCUUUGUUCACCUUGCCAUCCUUCUUAUCCGCCAAAUACUUGGGGCAGUUUCGCUUCCAGUGUCCAGUCUGCUUGCAGUAGAAGCACUCAGUUUCAGGAUCAGGUCCAGAUUUGGGUUUCUUCUCCUGAGCAGCAACUUGCUUACUGUUCUUCUUGAAAUUCCCCUUCUUCUUCCCUUUGUCCUUUUUCUUGAAACUAGCGGUCUUGUUAACCAUCAACACUUGAUGCUCCUUCUUGAUUUCUACCUCCGCAGCCUUUAGCAUUGCGAAGAGCUCAUCCCUUGCAUGUUAUAGUUCAUCAUGAAGCUCUUGUAGCUUGGUGGCAGUGAUUGAAGAACUCUGUCAAUGACACUAUCAACAGGAAGAUUAACUCCCAGUUGAGUCAAGUGAUUAUGAUACCCAGACAUUUUGAGUAUAUGUUCACUGACAGAACUAUUCUCCUCCAUCUUGCAGCUAUAGAAUUUAUUGGAGACUUCAUAUCUCUCAAUCCGGGCAUUUGCUUGAAAUAUUAACUUCAACUCCUAGAACAUCUCGUAUGCUCCAGGACGUUCGAAACAUCGUUGAAGUCCCGAUUCUAAGCCGUAAAGCAUGGCACACUGAACUAUCGAGUAGUCAUCAGCUUUGCUCUGCCAGACGUUCAUAACAUCUGGUGUUGCUCCAGCAGCAGGCCUGGCACCUAGCGGUGCUUCCAGGACGUAAUUCUUCUGUGCAGCAAUGAGGAUAAUCCUCAAGUUACGGAUCCAGUCCGUGUAAUUGCUACCAUCAUCUUUCAACUUUGCUUUCUCAAGGAACGUAUUAAAAUUCAACGGAACAACAGCACGGGCCAUCUAUCUACAAUCAAACAUAGACAAGCAAGAUACUAUCAGGCACUAAGUUCAUGAUAAAUUUAAGUUCAAUUAAUCAUAUUACUUAAGAACUUCCACUUAGAAAGACAUCCCUCUAAUCUUCUAAGUGAUCAUGUGAUCCAUAUCAACUAAACCAUAACCGAUCAUCACGUGAAAUGGAGUAGCUUUCAAUGGUGAACAUCAAUAUGUUGAUCAUAUCUGCUAUAUGAUUCACGCUCGACUUUUCGGUCUCAGUGUUCCGAGGCCAUAUCUGCAUAUGCUAGGCUCGUCAAGUUUAACCUGAGUAUUCUGCGUGUGCAAAACUGGCUUGCACCCGUUGUAGAUGGACGUAGAGCUUAUCACACCCGAUCAUCACGUGGUGUCUGGGCACGACGAACUUUGGCAACGGUGCAUACUCAGGGAGAACACUUUUAUCUUGAAAUUUAGUGAGAGAUCAUCUUAUAAUGCUACCGUCAAUCAAAGCAAGAUAAGAUGCAUAAAAGAUAAACAUCACAUGCAAUCAAUAUAAGUGAUAUGAUAUGGCCAUUAUCAUCUUGUGCUUGUGAUCUCCAUCUCUGAAGCACCGUCAUGAUCACCAUUGUCACCGGCGCGACACCUUGAUCACCAUCGUAGCAUCGUCGUCGUCUCGCCAAUCUUAUGCUUCCACGACUAUCGCUACCGCUUAGUGAUAAAGUAAAGCAUUACAGCGCAAUUGCAUUGCAUACAAUAAAGCGACAACCAUAUGGCUCCUGCCAGUUGCCGAUAACUCGGUUACAAAACAUGAUCAUCUCAUACAAUAAAAUUUAGCAUCAUGACAUGACCAUAUCACAUCACAACAUGCCCUGCAAAAACAAGUUAGACGUCCUCUACUUUGUUGUUGCAAGUUUUACGUGGCUGCUACGGGCUUAGCAAGAACCGUUCUUACCUACGCAUCAAAACCACAAUGAUAGUUUGUCAAGUUGGUGUUGUUUUAACCUUCGCAAGUACCGGGCGUAGCCACACUCGGUUCAACUAAAGUUGGAGAAACUGAUACCCGUCAGCCACCUGUGUGCAAAGCACGUCGGUAGAACCAGUCUCGCGUAAGAGUACACGUAAUGUCGGUCCGGGCCACUUCAUCCAACAAUAUCGCCGAACCAAAGUAUGACAUGCUGGUAAGCAGUAUGACUUAUAUCGCCCACAACUCACUUGUGUUCUAUUCGUGCAAAUAACAUCAACGCAUAAAACCUAGGCUCGGAUGCCACUGUUGGGAAACGUAGUAAUUUCAAAAAAAUUCCUACGCACACGCAAGAUCAUGGUGAUGCAUAGCAACGAGAGGGGAGAGUGUUGUCCACGUACCCUCGUAGACCGGCAACGGAAGCAUUGACAUAAUGUAGAGGAAGUAGUCGUACGUCUUCCCGAUCCGACCGAUCCAAGUACCGAACGUACGACACCUCCGAGUUCUGCACACGUUCAACUCGGUGACAUCCCUCGAGCUCCGAUCCAGCCGGGUGUUGAGGGAGAGUUUCGUCAGCAUGACGGCGUGAUGACGGUGAUGAUGUUCUACUAACGCAGGGCUUCGCCUAAGCACCGCUACGAUAUGACCGAGGUGGAAUAUGGUGGAAGGGGGCACCGCACACGGCUAAGGAACGAUCACGAAGAUCAACUUGUGUGUCAUGGGGUGCCCUCUUGCCCCUGUAUAUAAAGGAGGGAGAGGGGGAGGUGCGGCCGGCCCUAGCGGUGCGCCUGGAGGAGUCCUACUCCCACCGGGAGUAGGACUCCCCCCUCUCGCCUUGUUGGAGAAGGAAAGGGGAAGGGGGAAAGAGGAAAGGGCCCCCCCCCCUUCCUUGUCCUAUUCAGACUAGGGGGAAGGGGGCGCGCGGCCUGCCCUGGCCGGCCCUCCUCUUCUCCCUUAGGGCCCAUGUAGGCCCAUUAACCCGCCCGGGGGGGGGGGGUCCGGUAACCCCCCGGUACUCCGGUAAAAUCCCGAUUUCACCCGGAACGUUUCCGAUAUCCAAAUAUAGGCUUCCAAUAUAUCAAUCUUUAUGUCUCGACCAUUUCGAGACUCCUCGUCAUGUCCGUGAUCACAUCCGGGACUCCGAACAACCUUCGGUUCAUCAAAACACAAAAACUCUAAUUACGAUCGUCACCGAACUUUAAGCGUGCGGACCCUACGGGUUCGAGGACUAUGUAGACAUGACCGAGACACGUCUCCGGUCAAUAACCAAUAGCGGAACCUGGAUGCUCAUAUUGGCUCCUACAUAUUCUACGAAGAUCUUUAUCGGUCAGACCGCAUAACAACAUACGUUGUUCCCUUUGUCAUAGGUAUGUUACUUGCCUGAGAUUCGAUCGUCGGUAUCUUAAUACCUAGUUCAAUCUCGUUACCGGCAAGUCUCUUUACUCGUUCCGUAAUACAUCAUCCUGCAACUAACUUAUUAGUUGCAAUGCUUGCAAGGCUUGAGUGAUGUGCAUUACCGAGAGGGCCUAGAGAUACCUCUCCGACAAUCGGAGUGACAAAUCCUAAUCUCGAAAUACGCCAACCCAACAAGUACCUUCGGAGACACCUGUAGAGAACCUUUAUAAUCACCCAGUUACGUUGUGACGUUUGGUAGCACACAAAGUGUUCCUCCGGUAAACGGGAGUUGCAUAAUCUCAUAGUCAUAGGAACAUGUAUAAGUUAUGAAGAAAACAAUAGCAACAAACUAAACGAUCAAGUGCUAAGCUAACGGAAUGGGUCAAGUCAAUCACAUCACUCUCCUAAUGAUGUGAUCCCGUUAAUCAAAUGACAACUCAUGUCUAUGGUUAGGAAACAUAACCAUCUUCGAUCAACGAGCUAGUCAAGUAGAGGCAUACUAGUGACACUCUGUUUGUCUAUGUAUUCACACAUGUAUUAUGUUUCCGGUUAAUACAAUUCUAGCAUGAAUAAUAAACAUUUAUCAUGAUAUAAGGAAAUAAAUAAUAACUUUAAUAUUGCCUCUAGGGCAUAUUUCCUUCAUGCACAUGAACACGUCACUGUGUACCAUCAACACCGGGGAUGAUACACCACAACUCACAUCAAAGGAGACCCGGCCAGAAGUGCAGUAUUCAAGCAAUCCCCACAUGCCUAAGGGGGCCCCCGUCAGGACACGCGGCAGCUAUGGACUGCCCUAGAUCGACCCGAUCGCCCCUAGGGCCUCGAGUUUCGCCGCCCCGCAACAAGAAAAACUAGAAGAAGAAAAACUAGGGUAAAGGAGAUACGGUAAAGAUUACAUAGUGAUAGAUUGAUUGUUCGAUUGUGUACUGUUCAAUUGGCCGUCACCUCUCAUCUAUUGAUGAAGCGGCUAGACUUCCCGUAUAAGAAAAGGACUACCAAUCAUGUCCAAUAUGUCCAAAAUUAACCGAAUUCAGAAUUAGGAAUGCCUAAAACAGUAGUUCGGUGAAGGAUGACGCCAUGACAAUAAUGGUGGGGUGAUGCGUUCAACGACACAUUAUGGUCUGUGCGUUACUAUUGGGGCACUGCUGCAGGCCGGGAGGGUGCCGGUGCUGCGAGAUGGGUCAUCGUGUUGCAAAGGCGAGCAACGAGCGUCAGUCGCAACUCUAUCCGGAUGGCGAUACAGAUGCAUUCAAUGACAUGUUCUGGUCCGUGCGCUACUCUUGGGCAUUGCUCAUCGCACUGCUGCAGGCCGGGAGGGCACCGAUGCUGCGAGAUGGGGCGUCAGUGCUGCAAAGGCGAGUUCGGUCCUAGCUCUCUCCGGAUGGCGAUAUGGAGGCAUUCAACGGCACGUUCUGGUCCAUGCGCUACUAUUGGGGCACUGCUCGUCGCACUGCUAGAGGCCGGGGAGGGCGCCGGUGCUGCCAAAUGGGGCAUCGCUGCUGUAAAGGUGAGCGUCGGUCCUAGCUCUCUUCGGACGACGAUACGAGUAGCUGCAACCGGUGCACGCAGAUGCUGCAAUGCGCGCAUGACAAUGUCUGAACCGGCAAUGUGAGAAGCUGUAGCCGGAGCGUGCAAAAGCUGCUACAGCGCAGAGCGGUGCUGGUACCGGCGACGCGGGAAGCUACUAUGGCAAAAUAGAAAAGCUGCAUCCAGGGUGUGGGCUUGCUGGGGCCGGCCACUGGUGAAGCUAAGACAGGGGAUGGGGCGAGUCCAGGAUGCUGCAACUGGUGAGCGAAAUUGCUGGAACUGGCAACCUAGGUGCUGCAAUGGGGACAUCAAACAUCUAUGGACGGGUUGCUACAAAGCGCCACAGAAAUGCAACCAUGGGUUGACGAAGCUGGAACCGUGUACUAACGGAGCCGGCAGGCUGCCUAUGCGCUGUUGCAAAGUUGCUGGAACCGGCAAUUGUCGUUGCUGGAACUGGAUAGCGGAGAUGCUACAAUCGGCCAUUCGUCGGACAAGGAGAAAAGCUGCAUACCACGAUGAAAGAUCUGGUGCGAGUUACUACGGUCACUGCAACAGCUGGGAAUGUGGUAGCGGCGAGCUGCGACAGAUGUGCUGCAACCGCGUCCUCAUUUGACGGCUUGGGAGCUUUGUAUAGGACAUAUGCGGUGUGACCGGCCAAAAUUUGGGCCGAUAGACCGGUGCCUCGUGUUCGCCGAAAUCAUUACACCCGUUCUGACAGUUUUCCUAGAAAGUCCUAUUUGACGAAAUUUCACCGAACGCAGCCUAUACUCUCGGUCUGCCCAUUUCAUUGAAAAUUUCUAUCGUGUUUGUUGAUUUUUUGACCCCUUUUUUGUUUGUGUUUCCAUAAAUCUAUAUUCUUUGGCCCAAGCUUUGGUUUUAUUCUGGUUUUCUUUUAUUUUUUUAGUUUCUCCUUUUGAGUGUUUUCUUCUGGUUUUCCUCUUUUUAUUUUGUUACAACGGUAUUUUUUUUUUAUUAAUAAAUACGUUUUGGUAUACAUUUUUCAAAUAUACGAUGAACAUUCUUUUUAAAACAUGGCAAACAUUUUUAAUACACGAUGGACAUUUUAAGACACAAGAUGAAUAUUUUGAAAAAUACAUUGAACAUAUUUCAUCUACAGGACAAACAUUUUUCAACAUACGACAAAUAUUUUUUUAAAUACAUUAAGGUUAUCAAAAUAAAAUGGAAAAUACUUUUUAAAUAUGAGAUGAACAUUUUUACAUGUCUGAUUGUAUGUAAGUUUUUAUAUUUUAGCCUGCUAAUUGAUUUCUUUUCCAUGAAAAAAAUGGGAUGUUAAUGGCAGCCCUGUCAAAGGUGUUUUCCCUCGUGUUUGACACACAGGUACCCACUGGCCACAGGAUGAAAAGAGAAAAGAACAUACACACGAGUUCAUGGAAGCAAACACACAAUUGCAACCAGUCCAAGCCCAUAGAUACAUCGAAUACAUCGAUGUUGAACACAACCACAGCGGGCUCAGAGGAGCGCGUCAUAUCAUCUAGCGUCCACGUAAUUCCCAUGUAUAACUUCAUUCCUUCCUCAUAAAGAAACUUUGGCGAUGCUCAACGGUGUGGCGUUGAAGCAUCACUUGUUUGAACAAGUUUUCCUGGUUUGAUCUAGAGUGUUUCAUUCCUGGUAUCUCCUAUUCUCAAGCUAAGCUAGGCUCUUCUUUUUUAUUCCUUCUUUCUUGCAUUAUUGCUAUUAAAGAGCGUAGGAGAAAUUUGCUAUGUGGUGAAACUCAAUGACUCAGCGAAGCACGAAGAGAACUGCUCACUACAUUGGUUGCAUAUAUAUGUACAUGUAUAUAAGUUGUAAGUCAUAUAAGAUGUUGUUGGUGAAACUAUUUAUGACCCGUCGAUUUUAUGCGAUGUUUUUAACAAAACGUAGCCAAUGCUUUACAUAUGGAGGCAAGGGACGCCUUUUCAUGUGAUCUUAGUCUAGACUUAUGCUUUUAGUUUCAGAUGUGAGAACCAACUUAUUACGUAGUUCCUUCUUGGUUAAUUAAUUUACUUUGGCAAGUGCCCCGUCGCGAGAGCUUGCACUGUAGCUAAGAAUGGAGGAGUCUUGUGGGCGGAAUUGUUGGGGAACGUAGUAAUUCAAAAAAAUUCCUACGAUCAUGCAAGAUCUAACUAGGAGAUGCAUAGCAACGAGAGGGGAGAGUGUGUCCAUGUGCCCUCGUAGACCGAAAGCGUAAGCAUUUAGUAACGCGGUUGAUGUAGUCGAACGUCUUCACGAUCCAACUGAUCCAAGUACUGAACAUACGGCACCUCCGUGUUCAGCACACGUUCAGCACGAUGACGUCCCUCGAGCUCUUGAUCCAGUUGAGGAUGAGGGAGAGUUCCGUCAGCACGACGGCGUGACAACGAUGAUGAUGAAGUUACCGGCGCAAUGCUUCGCCUAAGCACUACAACGAUGUGACCGAGGUGUUAAACUAUGGAGGGGGACACCACACACGGCUAAGAGAUUGUCUGUUGUGCCUUUGGGUUGCCCCCUCUGCCUCCGUAUAUAAAGGGGGAGGAGGAGGUGGCCGGCCAAGGGAGGGGGGGGCAUGGGGGGAGUCCUACUUGGACUCCUAGUCCAAGUAGGAUUCGCCCUCCCUCCUUCCUUCCACCGGAGAGGAAAAGGGGAAGGGAGAGAGAGGGAGAAGGAAAGAGGGGGGCCUCCCCCCUCCCCUAGUCCAAUUCGGUUUGGGCAAGAGGGGGGCGUGCGCCUCCCCACGCGGGCUUCCUCCUCUCCUCCAAUAUGGCUCAAUAGGCCCAAUACUUUCCCCGGGGGGUUCCGGUAACCCCUCGGUACUCCGGUAAAAUAUCUGAAUCACUCGGAACCAUUCUGAUGUCCGAAUAUAACCUUCCAAUAUAUGAAUCUUUACCUCUCGACCAUUUCGAGACUCCUCGUCAUGUCCGUGAUCUCAUCCGGGACUCCGAACUAACUUCGGUCACCAAAUCACAUAACUCAUAAUAUAAAUCGUCAUCGAACGUUAAGCGUGCGGACCCUACGGGUUCGAGAACUAUGUAGACAUGGCCGAGACACAUCUCCGGUCAAUAACCAAUAGCGGAACCUGGAUACUCAUAUUGGCUCCUACAUAUUCUAUGAAGAUCUUUAUCGGUCAAACCGCAUAACAACAUACGUUAUUCCCUUUGUCAUCGGUAUGUUACUUGCCCGAGAUUUGAUCGUCGGUAUCAUCAUACCUAGUUCAAUCUCGUUACCGGCAAGUCUCUUUACUCGUUCCGUAAUGCAUCAUCCUGUAACUAACUCAUUAGUCACAUUGCUUGCAAGGCUUAUAGUGAUGUGCGUUACUGAGAGGGCCCAAAGAUACCUCUCCGAUACACGGAGUGACAAAUCCUAAUCUCGAUCUAUGCCAACUCAAUGAACACCAUCGUAAACACCUAUAGAGCAUCUUUAUAAUCACCCAGUUACGUUGUGACGUUUGAUAGCACACAAGGUGUUUCUCCGGUAUUCGGAAGUUGCAUAAUCUCAUAGUUAGAGGAAUAUGUAUAAGUCAUGAAGAAAGAAAUAGCAAUAAAACUAAACGAUCAUAAUGCUAAGCUAACGGAUGGGUAUUGUCCAUCACAUCAUUCUCUAAUGAUGUGAUCCCGUUCAUCAAAUAACAACACAUGUCUAUGGUCAGGAAAUUUAACCAUCUUUGAUUAAAGAGCUAGUCAAAUAGAGGCAUACUAGGGACACUCUGUUUGUCUAUGUAUUCACACAUGUACUAAGUUUCCGGUUAAUACAAUUCUAGCAUGAAUAAUCAACAUUUAUCAUGAUAUAAGGAAAUAUAAAUAACAAUUUUGCUAUUGCCUCUAGGGCAUAUUUCUUUUAGGAAUUUGAGAAGGGGGAUAAAGGGGUGUAGGAAGACAUGCUAGCCAGCACACCUAGUAGGGCAGAGUGUGCGGCCACUUGUGCACAAGGCCGCUAGUAGCAAUUAAGCCGGUAAAAUUCACAUGGUUUUUUGCACAUAUCUUUAUCUUUAAAGGACAUAGGCUUUCAUAGUUUUCCAUACGUCACCCUUUUAGAUUCGUUAAUUUUACGUUAACAUCAAAAUUGAUGGAUGAGAUUUCUUUCCCACUUGUUUUUCUUUUCCUUCUUNNNNNNNNNNNNNNNNNNNNNNNNNNNNNNNNNNNNNNNNNNNNNNNNNNNNNNNNNNNNNNNNNNNNNNNNNNNNNNNNNNNNNNNNNNNNNNNNNNNNNNNNNNNNNNNNNNNNNNNNNNNNNNNNNNNNNNNNNNNNNNNNNNNNNNNNNNNNNNNNNNNNNNNNNNNNNNNNNNNNNNNNNNNNNNNNNNNNNNNNNNNNNNNNNNNNNNNNNNNNNNNNNNNNNNNNNNNNNNNNNNNNNNNNNNNNNNNNNNNNNNNNNNNNNNNNNNNNNNNNNNNNNNNNNNNNNNNNNNNNNNNNNNNNNNNNNNNNNNNNNNNNNNNNNNNNNNNNNNNNNNNNNNNNNNNNNNNNNNNNNNNNCUUGUUUUUUAGUUGAGGGGGUGACCGAUCUCUCGAUCGGAUUAUUUUCCAUCCCUCCGCAUGGGCCGUUGCAUGGAACUAGGCCUACGUCCUAACAUGUACGGUUUUCUACUAUGGUCAACCCAUAUAAUGGUGGGAGGUGACAACAUGCCCGAGGAAAUCAUCCCAGCCACCCGCACACUUUUCAUAUAGUAUGAAAAUAUGUGCGUGUUUAAACUCUGAUGUACACUAAACAAAAGAAUCACACUAGUAAAAGGUAAACACGUCUGGAUCGACACCAAAGAUUUUUAUAAGAACCACCAUGCGUCAUUACAAUCGAGAAGAUAUUUCCAACCACCUCACACUUUGACCUCACGACUUCACAAGAACUCUACUAUUCUGAUUUUACUUUUUCUUUUCAGAAGUCCAAAUCAUAGAAACAAUCAUUUACAGAACUAACAUUUGGUAAGCCUAUGGAAGAAUUUACCGUCCGGAAUGCAGGAGAAAACAUGCUAGGGUCUCUGAAAUACAAAAAUGAGGAGCUAUACUUAGUUGGUAAGCCUAUGGAAGAACUUUUUUGCUUACCUGUAGACUUGGCAUGGUUCAAAAUAGCAGGACAUAAGGUGAGAGAUACUCUGUAUGUAAGCAGUAUAGCAAGUACUACAUGCUUAUGCUGAAAACUUGUACUAAUUGUGAAAUUUCUGUAGGUCAACCUUGAAAGAUGUAAUGACACUUUCUGCUUACCAAAAACCCAACAAGUGAUUCCUAGGCUAAAAGGAGCCUCAGCCAACAUGUUUCUAGACAAUGCUGAAUACCAGAAGUUCCUUUUCAAAAAAAUUGGGCUGUCAAAAAUUUAUGAGACCGACUGAUUCGCCGUUCUGGAAGGGACUUAUGAAAACGAAGGAUAUGUUCUUUCGUAGGGUCAAAUUCUUGGUUGGCAAUGGGAUGUCAACAAAAUUUUGGGAGGAUACGUGGUUAGGAAAGACGCCUCUGGCCUUACAAUAUCCCACCCUUUAUAAUAUUGUGCAACAUAAGAAGGAUUACGUAGGUAUUGUCAUCCAAACUAUUCCCUUGAACAUCCAGUUCAGACGUACGUUAGCGGGUGAGAGAUGGACAGCCUGGAUGCACUUGGUUCGGAGAUUGAUUGAAGUUCGACUCUCCGACAUGCCGGACUCAACACAAUGGAAGUUAACUAAAAAUGAGAUAUUUACGGUGAAAUCUUUUUAUACGGAUCUGAUUAAUUCUGGCCCUCUCUCACGGUCACUACAUAUAUGGAAGGUUAAGGUUCCUUUGCGGAUUAAAAUUUUUAUGUGAUUUGUCCACAAGCAAGUAAUACUCACCAAGGACAACCUUCUUAAGAGGCGAUGGGUUGGUAAUUCACGGUGUUGUUUUUGUGCUCAGGAUGAGACAAUACAACAUUUAUUCCUUGAAUGCCCACUUGCCAAGUUACUUUGGAGAACGAUUCAUAUAGCCUUUAAUAUCAAUCCACCAGUAGAUAUUGCGUCUUUGUUUGGGACGUGGUUAGCUGGGGUUGAACAGAUCAUGGCGGCUCGUAUUCGGAUUGGAAUAUGUGCGUUAUUAUGGGCUAUAUGGAACUGCAGAAAUGAUAUGAUUUUUAACAGACAACACAACUUAACUUUUUUGCAGGUUAUCUUCAAAGCUACAACUUGGAUCCGUACGUGGUCCUUACUCCUGUGGACUCCAGGAAGCCUUUGGUUACUGGGUGCAACCAAUGGGAGAUGGUGGCUCGGGUUAUAUUCAACCGGUUCGGAUGGCGUUCGCAUAACAGGAUAGGAGUCUAGAGAGCUUAUCUUUAUUAUCACCGUUAUGGUUGUUUUUGUCCACUUGUAUUUUUCCGGGUUAUGUACUUUGCUUUGCUCCGUUUGCGAGCUGUAAGACCUUUACGUUGAUACUCUCUGGAUUUUUAAUAAGAGGGCCGCAUGCAUCAUCAUGAUGCAGAGGCCGGGGGUAUACCUCCAUUUUCAAAAAAAAUAAAAAAAUUAUGAGGAGAGCCCAGCUGUGGGGAUGGUGGGUUUUAUAUCUUAUCUCUCACAGGUUUUGCUGAGACAUCUGCCAACAUUUGCGCUGCAUCAUUUCAGUUCAAUCACAAAAUUUAAGAUAUCACUACAAUUAAGUGAACUUGCUAACUAUUUUAACAGACAACAACGUCUCCUGGCAUACCUAUCAUUAUGUUUCGUGGAGUAUCUGAUUUGGCUAGAGGGGAGCCAACAUGGUCAUCAAAAAGCCUGAUGAACCUCACAUUUUUUUUUGCGAGUGCACAUUUAUUAAUACACUCAAAGUGGCAGUGGAAUUCAUUGCUACAAUUGGCAGGCAUAAAUCAACGCCAUCAGUACCAAAAGUUCUAAUAUCUGAACCAAAGAGAGCUGCCAUAUCCAUCGCAUCUGAAAAAAAAAGCACAGUAGUUGGAAACUACAUUCAGAGAAAAGCGAUCCUUGGCUUCCAAGUAGACUAAUUUUCCAAUAGAACAAUUAAGUGUUCAAUGUAUACUCAAUUAUAAACAUGCCUAUGUCGACCCAUUCUAUUUUGAGAUAAUCCUUGAACAAAAUGGGGAAUGAAAAAUAUGAAACAAAAAAACAAGAUGAUGAGGCCGAGCACAACAUCACGUUAUAACUUUUUCUUCCCAGAUAAAGCAAAACAAACUUGCACCAGGAUGCGUUGAUGCAUUGAUAGUAGAUAGAAAAAAAAAUCUGUAAACCUCGCAUCGGUUCAACACCCCCAAAAUGCAACUCUACCGUUUAAUUAACCACCCGGAGAAGUGCAGCAGGGAUUUAUCGUGUCGGAGAAACAUGGCAAUUUUGGAUUGCAUGUUGUCUAGGAUGGUGACAAUAUGAUACUACCAGAUCUACCCAAGUUGCGAACAAGAUCAAGAGAUCACGAAGAUCGUCCCUUCAGCACUACUGCCGGGGUAAAUCAGAUGGUCCACUACCACCGGUAUACGAUCACUUCCGAACUUUAUAAGGCAUGCACGUACCUCCAAAAUCAGUUCCUGCUCUACUACAUUUCCUGAGCAGACAUGAACUUUGGAUCCGUCUGCUCGAGAGUAAAGAAUGGUGUGGCAUUUUAUCAUCCCUCGGGAGCUAGUUUUUCUUGUUUGAUCCAAAGUGUUUCAUUCCUGGUGUCUCCUAUUCUCAAGCUAAGCCAGCAUCUCAUUCUCUCUUUCUUCUUUCUUGCUUUGUUGCUAUUAAAGGAAAAUUUAGCUAUGUGGUGAAACUCUAUGACUCGCCAAGCAUGAAGGGAAGCACUUAUCCCGAUGGUUGCUUGUGUAUAUAUACAUGUACAGAAUUGUUAGUUGUAUAAGGUACGGUUGCUGAAACUACUUAACACUUGUCGAUUUAUUAAGAUGUUUCUCACAGAACGUAACAAAUGUUUUUUAUAUGGAUGCUUUAUACAUGGAGGGCAAGGGACUCCUUUUCUUUUAAGCUUAGUCCAGGCCUGUGCCGGUCAUUUCAAAUUUGAGAACCAACUCACCUUGUUCUCUGUUGGUUGACUAAUGUAUUUUGGCAAGCGCCCUGCUGUGAGAGCUUGCACUGCAGCUUGGUAUGGAGGCGUCUUGUGGGCAAAGCAGUGGCGGAGCCAGAACUUUUGUGAAGCCUGGGCAAGCUUGAGCCUAAGUGUCUAAUUUGGAAAUCAAAAUCAAAUGUUCCGGUACACAAUAUAUAAAAUAGCCCCAAAAUUCAGAAAUACAAAUCCACAAUAAUAACGAAGUGAAAAUAUGAACAUAGUAGUCAUGGAAAUGUAAUUUUAAAGUCAGCUAGUAUAUGAUAUUUCAAUAUUCAUUUUUAUACACUACCCCAAUCCGUUUCUUUGUCAAGUAUGAAAGUACUCGGCGAAGGCCGAUAUCACCUCAACAACCAGUUUGCCGAGUGUGACACGGGACAAACCCUACUCCGCACACCCACUUUCGUCUAAGAGAGCUUCUCCCAGUUCCUUCCCUCACAUACUUGGCCAGGUGUCAAAAUGAGCUACUCAGCAAAAUAAAGUAGGUAGACACAGGGCUGCAACAUGGCAUGUUGUGUUUGCCAAGUACCUUCCAUACCAUACUCGAUGAAGAUAGGACAACUGAAGCGCGGCACGUGUCCUCAAUGUUUGCCAAGUUUUUUUUUU